GUCAGUAUGAUAAUUAUUAAUCGUAAAGGGGAAGUGAGGAAUCAGGAAAAUAAGGGAUGGGGUCUGAAUUCUAUAUAUAUUGCAUGGUUGAGAAGGAAGAGACAUGACAAUUGAGAGAUAUGGGGUUCGUUGAUAUAUUUUUUUUCUGGAACCCAAUUCCUGAUCAGUUCUUUGUCCUUUUUCACCUUCCAUCUCUCCUCCUCCUAGCCUUUUGUUCACUUUCUUUUCCUUUGCCUUAGUUCACACUAAAUCUCUCUCUCUCUCUUCUUCUCCUCCUUCCUUCUUCAUCUCUUCCAUAUAUACCUGUCCUUGUGUCAACUGGGUUCUUGAGAAGCUAUAUAUCUUUUGAGGGGAAUGUUGUCUGGCUCGAGGCCACUAACUAGAUCUGUAAUUUUUAUCUCUGAAUUUGUAUUGAGAUAUGAUUGAUGAUCAUGAGUUAGUGACGUCGGACCAGGCUUCAUUCCCCCCAAUUGUUGCUUCCUCUCAAGCUGAUCUCUUUCAGGUUAUUGUCUAGCUGUAGGUGCGAGAUGGAGACGUUCUUUUUCCUCAUCUUCCUGCUUCGACAACAGCCAGCUUUCCUACAUCUUUCCUUCCUUUGAUGCUACAAGAAACAAAUUCCGAAUUGCCUUGCCUUGCCGAUUGGAACCCUUUUUCUUGGAAUACUGGUUUUUUUGUUAUACGUAGCAGAAAUAUACAUAGAAAAGAUACAUUUUAAAUUGUUCUUUUUUUUUGUGAGAUUUUAAAUUGUUCUUUAAUAGUUCGAAAAGUAGAAUCAACUUAUGAAUAUUUGCAAAUUAUUUUAGAAUACGAAAUUACUCCUCGGAUAUAUAAACAAUCAUAUAAUAUAAGAUCUGUAAUUUAUCUGGAA